rnacentral:tRNA from 1 species
AAAUUAUUAGUAUACACAGAGUACGUAGCUUUUACAAGGCUAAAGUCCCUACGGGAUGAUUUA